GCCGGGCGUGGUGGUGCAUGCCUGUAGUCCCAACUACUCAGGAGGCUGAGGCAGGAGAAUCGCUUGAACCCGGGAGGCGGAGGCUGCAGUGAGCCAAGAUCCUGACACUGCACUCCAGCCUGGGUGACAGAGUGAGACUCCGUCUCAA
rnacentral:SRP_RNA from 1 species